rnacentral:rRNA from 1 species
CCUACGGGUGGCUGCAGUGAGGAAUAUUGGUCAAUGGGCGGAAGCCUGAACCAGCCAAGUAGCGUGCAGGAUGACGGCCCUACGGGUUGUAAACUGCUUUUAUACGGGAAUAACGCGCCUUACGUGUAGGGCUUUGCAUGUACCGUAUGAAUAAGGACCGGCUAAUUCCGUGCCAGCAGCCGCGGUAAUACGGAAGGUCCGGGCGUUAUCCGGAUUUAUUGGGUUGAAGGGGAGCGUAGGCCGCAGGUCAAGCGUGCUGUGAAAUGUCCGGGCUCAACCCCGUCGAGCCGUUGAAACUGGCAGACUUGAGUUGGCGAGAAGUACGUGGAAUGCGCGGUGUAGCGGUGAAAUGCAUAGAUAUCGCGCAGAACUCCGAUUGCGAAGGCAGCGUACCGGCGCCAGACUGACGCUGAGGCACGAAAGCGUGGGGAUCGAACAGGAUUAGAUACCCGUGUAGUC